AGGACGAACGCUGGCGGCGUGCUUAACACAUGCAAGUCGAGCGGAAAGGCCCUUCGGGGUACUCGAGCGGCGAACGGGUGAGUAACACGUGAGCAACCUGCCCCUGGCUCUGGGAUAGCCUCCGGAAACGGGGAUUAAUACCGGACAUUCACUUUCUUCCGCAUGGUCGGGAGUGGAAAGUUUUUUCGGCCGGGGAGGGGCUCGCGGCCUAUCAGCUUGUUGGCGGGGUAACGGCCCACCAAGGCGACGACGGGUAGCCGGCCUGAGAGGGCGACCGGCCACACUGGGACUGAGACACGGCCCAGACUCCUACGGGAGGCAGCAGUGGGGAAUAUUGCGCAAUGGGCGAAAGCCUGACGCAGCGACGCCGCGUGGGGGAUGAAGGCCUUCGGGUUGUAAACCCCUUUCAGCAGGACGAAGCGAAAGUGACGGUACCUGCAGAAGAAGCGCCGGCUAACUACGUGCCAGCAGCCGC
rnacentral:rRNA from 1 species